UUCCCGAUACACUCCGACUUAACGCUGCCUCCAAAACAGCAAAAGAUCAAGGAUAACACACCAAAACACACGUCACUGGUCUUAUGGAACGUUUACAGGCAGCCGUACGGGUAAAACUGUGAUGGCACAUUCCAGGGCGAUGAAGAGCUACUUACAAGUUCUGAUCAGAUCUAAUAUCCAGUAAGAGAAUCUGCAUACUUUAACUUCAACCUGACCUAAAGAAAUUCCAGAGGACAUCUACCUCCAGAGUGAUCUCUUAAGGCCCGAAGAACCAUACUUCCACCGUGACACUCAAAGAUUGAUCCAAGGAGCAGAAGACUGUCCUGGAGAAGAGCCUGGACAACUGGACGCCAGGAGCCAGCACACUCUCAAAUUGCUUGUGCAGCCAACAUUCCC